GGGUCAGUAGGUUGGUCGUGCCACCGGUACGUACUGGUCUCACUGAUUCCUCCUUCCUGAAGAACCGUAAUGCCAUUAAUCUGGUGUUGCGGGGAAACAGGACCGUUACUUUGAAAAAAUUAGAGUGUUUAAAGCAAGCUAACGCUUGAAUACAUUAGCAUGGAAUAAUGAAAUAGGACGAUCGAUCCUAUUUUGUUGGUUUCUAGGAUUGACGUA
rnacentral:rRNA from 1 species